GAUGUAAGCCAUCUUAUCGCUGCUUUGGGCCUUGCGCCGCAAAGGAGAGGAAAGUCCGGGCAACACAGGGCGGCCUGCUUCCUAACGGGAAGGCGGGUUUUUGGUGACGAAAACCCGACGGAAAGUGCCACAGAAAAGAUACCGCCCCGCAAGGGGUAAGGGUGAAAAGGUAGGGUAAGAGCCUACCGCGCUUUGGGCGACCAAAGCGGCAGGGCAAACCCCAGGCGUUGAAAGACCAAAUAGGCUGGUGCUCCGUGCAGUCGGUAAAGGGCGGCCCGUCCGUAGCCAGUGGGUAGGUCGUUGGAGCUUGUUUGUGAAGGCAGGCCUAGAUAAAUGAUAAGAGCCUGGCGCAAUCCAGGAACAGAACCCGGCUUAUCGGCUUACAUCUUUU
rnacentral:RNase_P_RNA from 1 species